AAUAAGCAACUUUUCUUUUAGUCAUUUUUAGGUGCAGUGUAUAAUGCAAAGGAUAUCAAAAAGACAGUAGUAUCCAGGAAACAUCCUCAAUUUUCCAUUAAUUGCAGAAAGUGGGAAAGGCAAAGAGAUUAGGUCAAUUUUGUGGAAAAUGGAUGUGUGAUGUGCUAAUUUACACCUGUAGGGGUACAUUGAUAUUUGAUACAUUG
rnacentral:lncRNA from 1 species